CCUGUCGUUUUCGCGAUCGUCGUUGUCGCCGUGGACGCUGCCGACGAUUCGGUUCUCGUGGUCGUCGGGCCGGUCGACGAGGCGGUCGUCGAAGAGGUUUCGGCGAGAGAGGAGCGAUCCGUUAAACUCGGCGUUAACGAGGACGAUGCCGGGCUCGUUCCGUGGUCGAUCGUCGAAACGAAAAGAUCGGGAGAAACCGGCUUCGAUACGGUGUUAGCGGCAAUGCUCGCGCUACCGUUGUCGUCGCUGUUACCGUUAACGUCGACGUCGAUGCUGUUUCCGACGCUAGCGGUGCCGCCGAUUACGGCGUUGCUACCGUUCGAUGAAAUCGUCGAAGAUGCAUCGUCCAACUGGGCAUCGAUUUCGAGAACGGAUAUCGCUUGCUUCCCCUUCAAGGCACUUCGAACGUCGAUCUGCGAUUGCGGCGGUAAAGCCAUGCUUCCAACGAUCAUCACCACGAACCAUUUACCGCCUCGAAUCGACUGCAUUAUCUCGGCGAGUUCUCCGAUCAACGGGAAGAUGAAAGGAACGCGAGUUUAUCGCGUUUCGCUCCGUAACGAUUACGUAUAUCCGUUGCGUGACCUAAAACGAACGAACGAAACGUAUGAAAGGACGAGCCGCGAGUAAAAGGGACAUUUUGACGAGAGCACGUUCGAAUCCCGUUGCUGUUUCCGCGUUCGCGUUUAGCAGACGUAGACGAAGAAGCGGAUCCGUGGCCGUGACCGUGGACGGUGUACGGAAUACGAGAACGACGCGGAAUCUCGAGAGCCGUGGUCGUCGUGGUCUUGGUCGUGUCGUGUCGUGGAUGCUCUCGUUUCUCACGCGUCUCUCCGUAGCUUUCGCGGUAUAGCGAUAGCGCGAGAGUAGCCGAGCCGUUUCAUCGAAGAGAGCAGUAGGCCGUAGAGAAGAGUGAAAUGGGAGGGAGGAAAGUGACAAGGGGAAGGAGAACGCAGAGGGAGAGUUCGAGCUCCCUUAACUCUGCUUAACGGUAACGUUGCUUUUUCUUUUAUUUUCUUUCGUCGACCGACCGAACCUCCAGCGAUUUCCUUGUCGUUUCAUCCGAUCCGAUUCGAUCACGAAAUUGAAACACGCGAAUCGAGCAGCUAACACCGAACAAAACGAACGGCGAGCAGCGAAAGACGAACGAGCCGCGAUGUGGCACGUCGGCCCACGUGUAUUUCUCCGCUCGACUCUCUCCGCGAAUCUCUCCGCGAUCUCCCCUCUAUCCUCUACCCUUCCCUUCUCGCGCUCCUGACCCUCGCCGCUUCCUUUUCUUUUCUUUUUCUUUCCUUCUGUAUUUACAGAUUUUUCCUUUUCCUACCAACACAGGCCUCGUUUCAACCACGGAAUGUCCGAAAAGUAAUAAUUCUUUCCUUCCCGAUGUAGAAACGUUACAGGUUUUCGAUCGGAAAACUCGUCGAAAGUUUAGAAGCGAUCGGUUCGCGAACGAUACGCGCGACUGAACGCGGUCGACGAUACAACGAUUUUCUCGCUUCCUUAUUCGCAUGGUCGUGAUCGUUAGUCGUGGCAGCGAUGCUGGCCACGGCCGCGAUGUAGUCGUAGUCGCGUUGGAGUUGUAGUUCGCGUUCGGGAUGCUAUGCCGUAGUAAUUAUAGCGCGAUAUAAUUCAGCAUGCGGAUACGGUGAAAUUAGGUUAACCUGGUACGUUUCUCGCGAGCCGUUAUCUUUGCAUUUUCAAGGCCGUGCCGCGUGCAGUUGUACCACUAGGAUCCGCUCGACCAAUCAGUGCACAGUGUACAUACUUAUCUACCGUGACACUCGGCCGGUGCGAUGCGAGCUAUCCACGCAUAUUUUCUUCGCGUCUGAAUAUUCCUUUCGUUUUCUUAUUUUUUCGCGCCUUUUCUUCCUCGGUCGUCUUACUUCCUUCCCACGAUUAUUCUUGGAAGGUAUUGUUUUUACAAAAAGCAGCUCUUGUCAUUUAUAGCGGAAAAGUUUUCGAACCGCGCGGGUUGCAGCGAUCUAAUUAGUUUCAUCUUGACACGCGCAACCAGUGCAUCCCGAGACGAACGAGUAUCGAAUUCGACAACAAAAUAUAAACAGUCGACUGGUGAAUUAAUUUGCUUCGGAAAGGAUUACGAUGUUUGUGAUCGUUUUUUCGUCAAGCUGAUCAAUUGGCCGCGAUUAAGCGAGAAAUCGAUUCGAAAUCGAUCACGACCAUUCGAAAGUUUAUCUUUCGAAUCGGCCGAGUAACCCGGUCCACUCGACUUACCUUUGUCUUUCAACAAUGACCUGGAUAGGUAUCGAUCCGGGCCUCGAUCUUACCGUCGACCUUCGCCUUAAUCUCGGACUCGAUCACGAUCUAAUUUUCGGCUUUUGAUCGGCGUCCUUGUAGCGACGACGAACGCCAACGUUAUAUCGGGUAUUUUCGUCCGAACGUACACCGACCAAUGUUCGUUCCUAGCACGAGAACUCGCGGGAGAGAAUCGCGACCAGUCGGAUUCGCGUUUGAAAAAUAACGCGACCGUGGUUACCGAUCACGGCUCUGCCGAAUUACCGGUAACGAUAUUCGAGCCGUGGGGCUGUUUCAGUCGCGAGAGUCGUGCUCCACCGUUCCAUCGAAUAUCGGGAGACCAAAGUAACGCUCGAACGGAAAACGAACCUACGAAGACACGACGAUUCGAGUACUAAGUAGGAAAAGUAAGAAAGUCGCGUUUAAGCGCGUUUCGGAGUAUCGAAUGGGACUGCGAGUUCCCGUGGAGGACAUACUGCCUAUGAGUCCCGGCUAGUCCCACUUACCAACCAACCAGAAACCCCUUGACUAUGCGUGGAAUUCUAAGCCGCAUCUCCGCCAAUCCUCUUCCUUCCUUCGCGUUCUACGUUUACCUACACGUUGCUCUGCUCUACCUCCACCGGCCGUUCCUCUGUACGUGUGUACCGGUACAUCGACGAUCGACCCUUCUUCGGAGAGGGACGGAACCACGAGAACCGCGAGAACCAUGGAGAAUCGAGAAUCGAGAAUCGAGGUUCCGUCACGGGGGACGCCGAGAGCGCAACGACUAGCAAUCGAGAGAAUCGAGAUUCGAGAGAGUCGAGUCCCGCGAGAAAUUUCUUCUCCGUCCUUCUUGUCGCGCUUUUUUCCUCGUUCGUCUGUCUCCCUCGAUCGUUCCCUCUUCCCUACGAUCUCUCAACUUUUUCAAACACGAUUGUUAGCUCGUUCUAUCGUUA